rnacentral:lncRNA from 1 species
GGCUGAUUAAACAUACACAUGUAUCAAUGAACUUUAAUAGAUCAGGUUUUCAAUGAUCUUUCACUAUUUUGGUUUCCCUCUUACACCUCAAUUGAUAUCAAUAACCCCAAAUAAGAGGCCCACAAACCAUAAACUGAAUACAAUUUCAUUAAAUAUCUGGGAAUCCACCCCCUUUAUAAGUAACGUACCACUCAGAAAUAUUAAUCUUAAAUUUAUGUAAAUGAAAAGUAAGCUCCAUAAAUAAAAUUCAACAAUGUGGCUAAAAAUUG